GUGGAGUUUCGACACUGCUUCCCAAAGGCGCAUGCGGACUGGCAGACUUGAAAGAAGACGGAUUGGAAUAGAAAGAGCUGCAGUCUGACUCCUCGAGGUGGACCGCGAGGCAUCAGUGGAAAACAUUUUCAAGAGAGAGUCAGACGUGGCUUGGACCGAGUCCCAGCCCACCUGAGCUGGUAGACAAAAAGUGAUGCCAGGGGGGGAGGAAAGAGUGGAACUUUUUCAUUUACAGAGCUGACAAAGACGGACAUCCCACCGAUGCAUCAGUAGCAAAAGUUGCACUUUAGCCGUCAGAUAUUCCUGGUGCCCAGAGGAUGAAUCCGACUGACUUUUUGUGAUCCCCUGACUCGUCAUCUAGCACCAUCAUCAGGGAGUGGGUCCUCUUCACGGAGUACACCAUGUUGCACCGCCAUGUUUCUACAAUAGCCAAGAAUGGACGAACCAAACACCCUCUCCGACACACUUGGAAAGGGACGGAUAUUCCUGGUGCCCAGAGGAUGAAUCCUACUGACUUUUGGUGAUCCCCUUACCUGUCAUCUCGCACCAUCAUCAGGUGCCUCCACACUGCUCUCAACCUAUGACUGUUAAGUCUCAAAUGGAUGCAUAUUGACCGAAAUACAAGGAAUCAUCAAAUGCACCUCUAUCUUGGCACCAGGUGUGUCUUCUUGCAGACAUCACUGCAAAGCUUCAGUUCUGCUCUGUUCCCAGGUUGGCUCUACUGUUAUAUUCUCCACGGUUUCCUUAUGGUGAAUUCAACUGACUGCAAAGGACACUCAAGGCUGCAGAGAAAGUUACUGGUGCCAUCCAUCCAUCCAUCCAGGAUUUAUACACCUCCAGAGUCAGGAAGCAGCACUGCAGACCCUUCACACCCUGGACACAACCUGUUUCAGCUUCUCUCCUCUGGGAGGCGCUAAAGAGCGCUGUACGCCAAACUACAAAAACCCUCUAACACCAAAAUAUUCUCUGCUGCUGCUAAGGGCUAUAAUUUAAACGUCUUUAAUGCACAAAUAUGUAUCAUUAAAUGCUAUUUCUAUACCUGUGUAAGUACAUUGAGAGAGGGAGAUUUCCCUCUGUGUCAUUAACAUUUCUAUUGGUAAUAAACUGCCUACAAUAAAACAAAUAAAUUAAUAGAUAAAUUACUUGAUAAAUGAAUGGUAAAUGAAAGUAUAUGCCAUUAAUUGACUGACAAAAUGUGACAGAAAAUUGCUAUUUAUGUUUUUAUUUGCUUUAUUUAUUAAUCUUUAUAUUAAUUCCCUUAUUUAUUUACUCUUCUGUUUAAUUUUCCCUUUUAUUUGUAUAUGUAUUAUUUCUAAUUAAUUAUUUUUUUUACAUUUCUUUAUGCAUUUUACUUCACUUAAAGUGUGUCAUCAUUGGGUCAGAGUUCAUAGAUCGACUCCUUGAGGUUUAAAUAAAUAAAUAUAUAAAUAAAUCCAUUCAUUUAAAAAUAAAUAUGAAAUAAAUAAAAAAUAAAUAAAAGAUAAAUACAUUCAAAAAUAAAUAUAUUUAAGAUAUUAUA